GAACUCCUUUCAGCGACAUCCAUCCGAUAAAAUUGGAACAAUAUCGAGAAGACUAGCAUGGCCAUGACACAAACAAAUCGAGAAAUGAUCCAAAUUAUU